rnacentral:rRNA from 1 species
UACGUAGGGUGCGAGCGUUAAUCGGAAUUACUGGGCGUAAAGCGUGCGCAGGCGGUCUUGCAAGACAGGUGUGAAAUCCCCGGGCUUAGCCUGGGAACUGCACUUGUGACUGCAAGGCUGGAGUACGGCAGAGGGGGAUGGAAUUCCGCGUGUAGCAGUGAAAUGCGUAGAUAUGCGGAGGAACACCGAUGGCGAAGGCAAUCCCCUGGGCCUGUACUGACGCUCAUGCACGAAAGCGUGGGGAGCAAACAGG